CUCCGGAUUGAUCAGACACAGAGACAAGCGACCGACAAGGUUGAAGCUGUUCUCCUGAAGUGUAACAUAUUUCCUCCAUUUGGAUCACUUUGACAAUGAAGCUCCUCCAUGCUGUGAUCUUCUUCUUCUUAUCAGGUACAACUGGGUUUGUCAAAGCCAGCAUUUGGAUUGUACCUGAAGGAGGGAAUUUAUCACUUUAUAAUCGCUUCACUGUGUCUGGAAACACAAAGUUCUUCUGUAAGGAAAAAUGUGAGAGAGCAGAAAACAUCCUCAUUAAAACAGAUGGAACCACAGCUCAGAGCGGCAGAUUCAGCAUUGAAUACAAAAAUGCAUCUUCAGGAAGAGGAGAGCUGACUAUGAAAAUCACGCAUACAACCAAGUCUGACUCAAGAAUGUAUCGGUUUGGUUUGGGCAAAUCUUCAGCUCCAGAUUCAUACUCAGACCUUGAGGUCAGAGUUUCAAAUGAAUUUGAUAAAAGCUCUGGAAUCUUCCGUGCGCAGACUGAGGGAGAAGAAAUCUCAUUUGGAUGUGCCAAUGCUGUCCAUGGACAGAGGAAGUUCCUUUGUAAGAAUCCGUGUGAAAAAGAAGGAAAUAUUUUCAUUGACACAACUAAUGACAAAGCUGAGAAUGGCAGGUACAGCAUCAAAUACACAAAAGGAUCUGUGCAUGGACUGUAUGCAACCAUCAGACAGCUGACCAAGUCUGACACGGGACAGUACCGGUGUGGUUACGGCGACCCUUUGUCUCCUGAUUCAUACCACACUGAUAAUGUUUUUGUCGUAGAGGCUUCAAAACCUUCUGCCUCCACACCUUCAUCGGGUCAAACUGAAUCUGCGAGUAGGAGCUGGGAUCGAGCUUCAAACCCUCCUGACUCAACACAACAGGCAACAACACAGAGUCACACUUUCACUCCAGGACUCUCCAAACCGUCAUCAGACUGUCCAGACUUCUUCCUGCCUCUGGUUGUGUGUGUGUCCUUGGUUGGAGCUUUACUGUUGUGUGUUGGUCUGCUGCUCUACUACAUUAGUAAAUUGAAGAGGAAAGCUGUAUUAAACAUCAGAAACAAUGACUACACGAUCAUGAAGUUGUCUUCUGUCAAUGAUGAUUAGACUCCUUCCUCUGCACAUGAAGACUCCAAAAGGACCAGGAACAGAACUACUCUGCAUUUAUAAAGAUGGACAUGUAAAAGUAAUGCUUAUGUUAUGUAGCUUAAAUUAAAUUUGCGUGAAAACAAAAAAAAUCUAAUUGAAGUGUAUGCAGCAUCUUUUGUUUGUCAGAGCCACCACACUAGUAAAACAUCAACAUGAUGAUGGCAAAAAUGCCAUAAAAUCUUAAGGAUUCAGUACAUUACAAACCAGUGACUGUUUACAUUGUUGGUAUGUUGAUCUUUUACGAAGAUCUGUGAGCACAUCAACAUAUCAUGGUUGAACUGCCUGUUGUGUAUUUGUGAUAUUGACAAAUAAAGAAAAUAGUCUGAUUUUGAGCAUUUAGUUCAUAAUUCACUCCUCAGCUACGGUCGCCAUGAGUGCAGAGCGAGAACAUACAUGUGGGUUUUUUUUGUUUGUUUAUUACCUUGAUUUGCUUUUAUAGCUGUUUUUUUAUUUGUUUACCUCAUAGUUUUAUUUUGUUCUACUAAUGUAAGGUGACCUUGAGGGUCUUUAAAGGCGCCUAUAAAUAAAAUGUAUUAUUAUUAUUAUUGUUAUUAUUAUUAUUGUUAUUUUUAUUAUUAUUGUUAUUAUUAUGUAUUGAUUUCAGUAUAUUUUAAUCAUUAUAGCUUCUUCUUAAUUUGAUUUGCUGUUACACAAUAAAUCUCAUCCAUGGCCUCUGUUGUAUAUAAAAAUGAUGAGCUUAACAAAACUGGGUUUGAAAAAUGUUCAGCCUUGCUUCUGCUGUGUUUAAUGUGAGUGAAGUGUAAGAACCAUGGCUUUGUCUGUAGAUCAUGUGCAUUCUUAAUUUUGAAAUAAAUCCCUUUUAAAUCAUCUAAAUUUUAUAAGGA
ensembl:lncRNA